UUGGUUAGAAAUCAACUCAGGUCAUCUCCGCAAUGGUUAUGGCAUCAAGGCCCGCCACGCCGGCAGCGGGCCCCAANGGGGUCUCAGGGAUAUUACAGUCAAC
rfam:Pseudomonas syringae pv. actinidiae ICMP 19096 scaffold853, whole genome shotgun sequence.